rnacentral:rRNA from 1 species
UACGUAGGGUGCGAGCGUUGUCCGGAAUUAUUGGGCGUAAAGAGCUUGUAGGCGGUCUGUCGCGUCUGCUGUGAAAAUCCGGGGCUCAACCCCGGACUUGCAGUGGGUACGGGCAGACUAGAGUGUGGUAGGGGAGACUGGAAUUCCUGGUGUAGCGGUGAAAUGCGCAGAUAUCAGGAGGAACACCGAUGGCGAAGGCAGGUCUCUGGGCCGGUACUGACGCUGAGGUGCGAAAGCGUGGGGAGCGAACAGG